CGCUGGCGGCGCGCCUAACACAUGCAAGUCGAACGGCACCCCUCUCCGGAGGGAAGCGAGUGGCGAACGGCUGAGUAACACGUGGAGAACCUGCCCCCUCCCCCGGGAUAGCCGCCCGAAAGGACGGGUAAUACCGGAUACCCCGGGGUGCCGCAUGGCACCCCGGCUAAAGCCCCGACGGGAGGGGAUGGCUCCGCGGCCCAUCAGGUAGACGGCGGGGUGACGGCCCACCGUGCCGACAACGGGUAGCCGGGUUGAGAGACCGACCGGCCAGAUUGGGACUGAGACACGGCCCAGACUCCUACGGGAGGCAGCAGUGGGGAAUCUUGCGCAAUGGGGGGAACCCUGACGCAGCGACGCCGCGUGCGGGACGGAGGCCUUCGGGUCGUAAACCGCUUUCAGCAGGGAAGAGUCAAGACUGUACCUGCAGAAGAAGCCCCGGCUAACUACGUGCCAGCAGCCGCGGUAAUACGUAGGGGGCGAGCGUUAUCCGGAUUCAUUGGGCGUAAAGCGCGCGUAGGCGGCCCGGCAGGCCGGGGGUCGAAGCGG
rnacentral:rRNA from 1 species